UGCAAGAGUCUUAAUCUAACAUGUUUCUACUAUUUCUCAAAUAUUUAUUGAUUCAUUAUCAGGUUCUUAUUAGGUACACGAUUUUGUCCUUCUAUAUGCUAUGAUAAAUAUAAACCAAAGAAUUAACUCGUAAUGAUUUAUACUCUUAUUUUUUUUAAAUCUAUGUAUCAUGAUUUGUCCUCUCUUUUUUAUCUCUGUAUCAGGUAAUCCAACUGAUACAUAUUAUAAUCAAUAUAUAACUAAUGAGUAUUAGAUAUUUUAUUUAAUUGCUAUUUGCUUUCUUAUAAGAUAUUUUUGUAUUCGUGCAAAAUUGCUAAGUGGUAUGAAAAUUGUGAAUGAAUCGAUAGAUUUUGUUACCUAAUUGAUAAGCAAAAUUGUUUAUUAAUUUGCUUUUUUUUUUCUCUGUGACUAUACGUUUGGUUAUGCUUUCUGCCUGAACUUGAAUAUUUCUUCCUUUAUAUGGUUUUUGUCGGUUACAUAUAUAUUUUGUGGAUUUUUGAAAUAGUUAUCAAUCAAAGGUAACAUGUACUUUGGUCCAUGACAUUGGAAGCAUCUUAUACAUGUAAUGAUUUAUGUGGAUUGGUGGUGUAAUUAUGAAUCGGUGUUCUCGCAAAUAUGAUGUUUGAAUGAACUUUGUUAAAGAAUUAGUAUUUAUUAAAUUGUUUAUGUGUCAAAUCUCCUCUAAAAUCAACAAUGAUAUUAUUCGUUUCCAACCUAAAAUUAAAAUUUUGCCCUUCUCUUUCUUUAAUGUUAUUCUCUCUCUCUCUCUCUCUCUCUCUCUCUCUCUCUCUCUCUCUCUCUUAACAGAAAUGAAGAUUUACUCCACCACUAAGUCAUCAACAUCAUCCACUCUGCUACUUCUCAAGAGAUAGCAAUGAAAUCACCUUCCAGCUGCUACCACCAUCUCUGCUGUCGAAAAUCCGACAUUGUUGGUGUUUCCAUCAACCGUCUAAUCUUACCCCUGUCAAAGAUCUCUACUAUGCGAAGAGAGGAAGAUAGUCGAAAGCUCUCUUGUAAUGGUUGACAAAUUGAAUUGUUGUCUUUUUCUUGUAAUUUGGUUGAUCAAUAUGUUAUAAUCUGUUGUUAUUAUAGAGUUAAUUUUCGUUCUUUUUGUGUUUUUUAUAUGUUUCUUCAAUUUUAUACUUGCUUUGAACAAAAUAUUUGAGAAGUUGGUUCCUUGGCAUUCUUCAUUUUAAUUAGAGAUAAUUUGAAAAAAUAAAUUGUUAUAACCUUGGUUUGUUUUAUGCCUUAUGGAAGAUCCGAUGGUGAAGGUUAAAUGUUAAAGAGUCAAAGCUCCUUGGAAGCUAUAUUCAUUUUUUUUCCUGUUUGGAGUGGAGUAUCUGCUAUGUCUUUUAGAUUAUGAUUUGCUUUUAGAAUAAUAUGGGUCCUUUAUGCUAUUGAAGCUCCUGCUUUUGGUAAGAACAAGGCAACCUUAUAAGAUUGUGCCACUCUUAUUGGAGGCUAGCUGGGUUUUUGAUGUUUCAUAAUUGCAAAAUGGUAGGUGGCAAAAUGGGCAAGAUUUUCGGCCAUUAGAGGGAUAGCUUCAUCACAUGUAUGUUAUGAUGAGCCAUUUGUAUCUUAUUGCUACCAUCUCAAAUAUAUUAAACGAAUUGUUUUAACUUUUGUACGUUAAAAAGAUCAUUGUUUCAUUAAAAAAUCAUGUCCUAAUUAAAGUUUCCAUAACUUA